GAUGAACGCUGGCGGCGUGCUUAACACAUGCAAGUCGAACGUGAGGGUGUAGCAAUAUGCCUGAAAGUGGCGAACGGGUGAGUAACACGUAGAUGACCUGCCCUGGAGUGGGGAAUAACCAUUGGAAACGGUGGCUAAUACCGCAUACAUCCAGAAGAUUGGGAAAUUUUCUGGGGAAAGCUCUGGUGCUCUGGGAGGGGUCUGCGUCCGAUUAGCUAGUUGGUGAGGUAAAGGCUCACCAAGGCGACGAUCGGUAGCUGGUCUGAGAGGACGAUCAGCCACACGGGAACUGAGACACGGUCCCGACUCCUACGGGGGGCAGCAGUGAGGAAUAUUGGGCAAUGGGCGAGAGCCUGACCCAGCAACGCCGCGUGGAGGAAGACGGCCUUCGGGUUGUAAACUCCUUUUGACAGGGAAGAGAGAGGACGGUACCCGUCGAAUAAGUCACGGCUAACUACGUGCCAGCCGCCGCAGUAACAC
rnacentral:rRNA from 1 species